CCAAAAUAUAUUUUGCAACCAGCGAGGGGAGCAUCAUAAGUAACAGGAAGUCUUGCUCAAAUACUAAAACUAUCAAAUGUUUUUCAAAGGUUUUAUAGUCAUUAUUACAGGUCUAGAACAUGGUCUCAGCAAUGAUGUCAGUUUAAGGUUUCAGUGAAGAUUUUAAGACAUGGAUUUCCAAAACUUGUGUUUCUCAAUUUUCUCUCUUAUUCCAUUGUAACAUCUUCAGGAUUAAUGGUUUGAAUUCAGCUGAUGUUAUCUCAGUGGUGCCCUCAAAAUGGUAUGCAGCUUGCUGUUGGUCAGAGGUGCUACAACACUGAGGUUCAGCUCAGGGUCUGUUGCUGUCCCAGUCUUAUAUUGCUUAAUGAUAAUAUCUGCUUAUCUGAAGACCUUCAAUUCAACGACUGUCACAGUUAGUCCUGGGGGCACCGUUUCUCUGGACUGCAAUGUAGAACACCAUGAAGAAACCCUAUGGUACGGACAGCGAUGUGACAAGGUGCCCUUCCUCAUGGUGUCUACUACCACGAAGACUGGAGGAGGGAAUAUUCAACAUAAAGGUUCUGGAGGUUUUUCUACUAAACAUCUCCAAAGCAACAAGUCCAUCAGUCUGAUCAUCAACAACAUCACUGAAUCUGUUCUAGGACUCUACUAUUGUACUUCUAAUGGAAAGGUUUAGUCUGGCUGCAUCCUUAGCUAUACUGGUGAUGGUAUGUACUAAAUAGCGUAAUUUAACUUUCUUGCUAUUUCUCUGAAUAGAUUGAUGAGUAAAGUCUAUCAAUGGAAAUGUAUAUUUCCUUGAAACAGAUCAGACCAGUGGGUCAAAGACAUCGUCUCAUUCUCAGUCUACUGAUGCUCUGUCUUCAGCAACUCCAUCCUCUGAUCAGUGCUGGAUGCUGGUGGCCAUCUUGUCUCCUUUCUGUGUCAUCUUUGCUAUGGCUGCUCUGCUCUCCUCUGUCGGUGCCUGGUGAAUCUAUAAAAGAAAAGGUCAAGCUUUUUUACUAAAAGGGAUUUGUUAUUGGCAUGCAAGUGUUGUUCUGUGUUUAUUUGGAAAUAUUGGAGGGUUGACCACUGUUUAUUCAUGAUUGAUUGAUAGUUCAGAAUAUUUGAUAUGAUCAAAUUAAAUAUGUAUUUGCAUAUUUACCAAUUAAAUAUGUUUUUGUA